UUAUGCAAAGUUUUCGCUACAUUUGUGGU
rnacentral:sRNA from 1 species